UGGGAGUUGUUUUUAGGCAAUUAUUUCGCGAACCCGGUCAGGACUGAAAAGUAGCAGCCGCAACGAAAAUAAUUGGGUUGGAUGCGACUCCCACCU
rnacentral:SRP_RNA from 2 species